rnacentral:tRNA from 1 species
CGGGACGUGGCGCAAUUUGGUAGCGCACUAGACUGGGGGUCAAGAGGUCGCCAGUUCAAAUCUAGCCGUUCCGA